UGGCUCAGAACGAACGCUGGCGGCGUGCCUAACACAUGCAAGUCGUACGAGAAACACGUCCUUCGGGGCGUGGAGUAAAGUGGCGCACGGGUGAGUAACACGUGGGUAACCUGCCCUUGGAACCGGGAUAACUGGCCGAAAGGCCCGCUAAUACCGGAUAAGACUUCAUGAGCUUCGGCUCAUGCGGCCAAAGUCGGCCUCUCGAAGAAGCCGGCGCCUGAGGAUGGGCCCGCGGACCAUUAGCUAGUUGGUGAGGUAACGGCUCACCAAGGCCGAGAUGGUUAGCUGGUCUGAGAGGAUGAUCAGCCACACUGGAACUGAGAUACGGUCCAGACUCCUACGGGAGGCAGCAGUGAGGAAUAUUGCGCAAUGGAGGCAACUCUGACGCAGCAACGCCGCGUGGGUGAAGAAGGCUUUCGGGUUGUAAAGCCCUGUCAGGUGGGAAGAAACCUCUUCUAGUGAAUAGCUAGAGGAACUGACGGUACCACCAAAGGAAGCACCGGCUAA
rnacentral:rRNA from 1 species